UGCACACACACAGCAGACUGGCUAGAAAUAAAGAAGAAAGAAAGAAAAUAUAUGGUAUUUUUUCACAAGUACUGAAAUACGGGGUUUUUGUAGUUUUUCAGGACUUUCUCCAUUUUGUGCCAAAACUGGGGGGAGUGUUGGGCAUUUUUGGAAU
rnacentral:ribozyme from 1 species